CACAAGAGCUCUCCUCCCUUGGCCCUUUGCUAAUUAUUCUUGUUAAUUAUUUUUUAAUUACAUUUCUAUCACUGUUUCUAGAACAGCUACCAUCAUUUCCACUUCAGAGGCUCCAGACGCCACACACCCUAAAACAUAGAAACGAUGGUGGCUGCCUAGUGAAUGCUUUCAAAGGAAACAGAGGGGAAUCCAACCCACCAUGGCUCCUACUGCAUCAGUGCCACUGCUGAGAGCAGGGACAAAGGGGACCAGGACACGGGGACCAGGACAUGGGAGUGGGACACAGGACCGGGACACGGGGACUGUCCUUUCUCGCUCCAUUACAGCAGGGGGUAAGUUGAAAGCAGGACACCUGGGGUCC
rnacentral:lncRNA from 1 species